GCCCGAAUAGCUCAGUAGGUAGAGCAGAGGACUGAAAAUCCUUGUGUCGGCGGUUCGAUUCCGCCUUCGGGCA
rnacentral:tRNA from 2 species